rnacentral:rRNA from 1 species
AUGACUAGGGAUAACCUUAGGAAGAGAUACAUCAUCAAACCCCUUGAUUGUGUUUACUGCUUGGAACAAGAGUCUUGUUCUCACCUAUUUUUUGAAUGUAUAUUUGCUAAACAUCUCUGGGCCCACAUUGAGGAAUAUUUCUCUAGUCAGAUUGACUCAUCCUUCGAAUCUGUCGCCAGAUUCUGGAUUGCUACCGAAAAGUGCUCAGUUUUAAACACUGUUAGCUCAGCUGUCCUUUGGUGCCUCUAGAAAUAUAGAAAUACUAUGAUUUUCAGUAACACCUCCUGGAUUUCUAUUUCGCAGGUCUUGAGGUUGAUCAAGAACAUGGUGAGGAACUGGGUGAUUCUCUCCUCCGGAUCAGACAAGGACAAGUUGAUGAGCUUCAUGGAAACCCUAACAAGAUCCCCCAAAAACCGUUGGCGAUCACCUGUGGCUGAACAAAGCUCGACCUGCUCUGGGGCUGGACCCGUGGGCUCAUCUCAAGAUCUCUGA